rnacentral:misc_RNA from 1 species
GAUGAAGAACGUAGCGAAAUGCGAUACGUAAUGUGAAUUGCAAAUUCAGUGAAUCAUCGAGUCUUUGAACGCACAUUGCGCCCCCUGGUAUUCCGGGGGGCAUGCCUGUCCGAGCGUCAUUGCUGCCCUCAAGCACGGCUUGUGUGUUGGGCCCCGUCCUCCGAUCCCGGGGGACGGGCCCGAAAGGCAGCGGCGGCACCGCGUCCGGUCCUCGAGCGUAUGGGGCUUUGUCACCCGCUCUGUAGGCCCGGCCGGCGCUUGCCGAUCAACCCAAAUUUUUAUCCAGGUUGACCUCGGAUCAGGUAGGGAUACCCGCUGAACUUAAGCAUAUCAAUAAGCCGGAGGA